rnacentral:rRNA from 1 species
UACGUAGGGCGCAAGCGUUGUCCGGAAUUAUUGGGCGUAAAGAGCUCGUAGGCGGCUUGUCACGUCGGGUGUGAAAGCCCGGGGCUUAACCCCGGGUCUGCAUUCGAUACGGGCAGGCUAGAGUGUGGUAGGGGAGAUCGGAAUUCCUGGUGUAGCGGUGAAAUGCGUAGAUAUCUGGAGGAACACCGGUGGCGAAGGCGGCAUUCUGGACCGAUAUUGACGCUGAGGAGCGAAAGCCAGGGGGGCAAACGGG